rnacentral:rRNA from 1 species
UAGGGAAUCUUCCACAAUGGGCGAAAGCCUGAUGGAGCAACGCCGCGUGUGUGAUGAAGGCUUUCGGUCGUAAAGCACUGUUGUAUGGGAAGAACAGCUAGAAUAGGAAAUGAUUUUAGUUUGACGGUACCAUACCAGAAAGGGACGGCUAAAUACGUGCCAU